GUAACAAGGUUUCCGUAGGUGAACCUGCGGAAGGAUCAUUACAGUAUUCUUUUUGCCAGCGCUUAAUUGCGCGGCGAAAAAACCUUACACACAGUGUUUUUUGUUAUUACAAGAACUUUUGCUUUGGUCUGGACUAGAAAUAGUUUGGGCCAGAGGUUUACUGAACUAAACUUCAAUAUUUAUAUUGAAUUGUUAUUUAUUUAAUUGUCAAUUUGUUGAUUAAAUUCAAAAAAUCUUCAAAACUUUCAACAACGGAUCUCUUGGUUCUCGCAUCGAUGAAGAACGCAGCGAAAUGCGAUAAGUAAUAUGAAUUGCAGAUUUUCGUGAAUCAUCGAAUCUUUGAACGCACAUUGCGCCCUCUGGUAUUCCAGAGGGCAUGCCUGUUUGAGCGUCAUUUCUCUCUCAAACCUUCGGGUUUGGUAUUGAGUGAUACUCUUAGUCGAACUAGGCGUUUGCUUGAAAUGUAUUGGCAUGAGUGGUACUGGAUAGUGCUAUAUGACUUUCAAUGUAUUAGGUUUAUCCAACUCGUUGAAUAGUUUAAUGGUAUAUUUCUCGGUAUUCUAGGCUCGGCCUUACAAUAUAACAAACAAGUUUGACCUCAAAUCAGGUAGGAUUACCCGCUGAACUUAAGCAUAUC
rnacentral:ncRNA from 2 species